rnacentral:rRNA from 1 species
AUACGGAGGAUCCGAGCGUUAUCCGGAUUUAUUGGGUUUAAAGGGUGCGCAGGCGGCCAUUUAAGUCAGCGGUUAAAUCGUGGGGCUCAACCCCAUUCUGCCGUUGAUACUGGGUGGCUUGAUUGCGGUCGAGGUUGGCGGAAUUCGUUGUGUAGCGGUGAAAUGCAUAGAUAUGACGAAGAACACCGAUUGCGUAGGCAGCUGACCAGACCGCAAAUGACGCUCAUGCACGAAAGUGCGGGGAUCGAACAGGAUUAGAUACCCUGGUAGUCCGCACAGUAAACGAUGAAUACUUAUUUUCGGCGAUAUAAUGUCGGAGGCAAAGCGAAAGCGAUAAGUAUUCCACCUGGUGAGUACGCCGGCAACGGUGAAACUCAAAGGAAUUGACUUGG